GCACGUAGUUAGCCGUGACUUAUUCAUCAGGUACCGUCAUUAUCUUCCCUGAUAAAAGAGGUUUACAACCCGAAGGCCUUCAUCCCUCACGCGGCGUUGCUGCGUCAGACUUUCGUCCAUUGCGCAAAAUUCCCGACUGCUGCCUCCCGUAGGAGUCUGGGCCGUGUCUCAGUCCCAGUCUGGGUGAUCGUCCUCUCAGACCACCUACCGAUCGUCGCCUUGGUGAGCCGUUACCCCACCAACGAGCUAAUCGGACGCAGGCCCCUCCCGAAGCGCCUUGCGGCUUUACUGGUGUGAUUGAACACACCACCACAUGCGGUAUUAGCCACCCUUUCGGGCAGUUAUUCCCCACUUCGGGGCAGGUCACCUACGCGUUACUCAGCCGUCCGCCACUAACGAUCGAAGCAAGCCUCGAUCGUCCGUUCGACUUGCAUGUCUCAUGCACGCCGCCAGCGUUUAUC
rnacentral:rRNA from 1 species